AGCAGAAGCCAAUAGCUCACCAGAGAGACUUUCCUCCAGUUUUAACACAGACUUCUUCAGUGGCUUUCCACUGCAUUCAAAUUCUGAAAAUGGCAUUCAAGACCUUAUGCAAUGAUGCUGUCUCUCUGUCCUGCCUUGUCAUCUGCCUUAUUUCUCACUAGGAGCAGCAUUAUCUGACUUCUGUGUUUCUUGAUCAUCCUUUUAGGACCUUCCUCAUGCUAUUUCCUCUGUGUAUCCUAAAUCAUAGAAUCCACUUCCUGGCUACAAGUCAUACCUGCCCUCAGCUGUGACCCCCAAAACUUCUGAGUGAUGCCGUCAGUUGCAGGUCCCUCCACAGGCCCUGGGCAUCCCCCCCAGUUCUUCCACCCUCCACUCUGAACCCUCAGCCCAGCACAACCCCCUGUUUCGUCCUAGCCUGACCCAGCUCUUCACAGCCCAUCUGGAGCUCCACUGGGUGCACCAAGGUCUUGAACCAGAAGCUGCCCUCUGUGGACACAUGUGCUUGAGAUGGUUCUCAUCUGGGCUUCCAGUUACUUCCUCACCUCCAUCUUCAUGCCAUCCAGCCUCCUGAUUGACAUAUGAAGUCCUUGAGGAGAUGAGAUGUGGCCAGACGUGUGAUCUGGCCGAAGGCCCUUUGGGAUCUUCCAGUCCAUAGGCAAAGCAGAAAUGAACAAGGAAGCUGGUUUCAUAACACAGCAGAGCAGGUGAGGAGCAGGAGGGCACAUGCCCCACCUCUAGCCUGUUGCUGCCAGUUGCUGGAAAUGUGGGCCCAGUGGGGUCAGAGAAGAUGGAGCCAAAUUUCUAUGUACAGUAUCCUGGUUGUUGAGUGUCAGCAACUAAUUGAACAUUAAAAAAAAAAUCCUGUAUAGGCAAGCACACCUGUGGGACGGAGGCUCUUGGAUUCCCAAUUUGCAAACUCCCGUAGUCCAAACCCUUCACCCUAUGGAUAUGGAGGACAGUGUCAUGGAGCAGAUUGGCAGGAGAGGGACAGGACCUGGACCUCACACCUUCUGUGCAGCACUUGCCACCAGCCACCCGGAAGCCAGAAAGCAACUCUGGCCAAUGCAACAAGCCUCUAGCGCGUGUCCCCCUGGGAAAGAGGUCCUGGGCAGAGACAAAGACGAAGGAGUUUUUUUUUUUAAAUGCCUGCCUUUGCUCCUUGACACUUCACUUAGCCUGGAGCCCAGGGUCGGGCAGGUUGGAACAAACUAACUCAUAUUCAGGAAAGAGCCUUACAUGUCCCUGGAGUCCCUGGGGGCACAGGACACAUGAACCUCAAUUCAGGGGACUCAGCAAGGGGACAUUUUCUAAACUUCACAUCUGGAAAUAAACUUCAAACUUACUGAAAUUUUGCAAGAAUAAAAGUAAUAUGGACGCUUUA